GCCAGUGUAGUGUGGUGGUUUGAGUACUAGACUACAGCUCUGGAGACCAGAGUUUGAUUCCCAGCUCGGCCA